rnacentral:tRNA from 1 species
GGUGUGGCGCAGUUGGCUAGCGCGCCAGAUUGUGGCUCUGGAGAUCGAGGGUUCGAGUCCCUUCAC